CACCUCUAGCUAACAACAUAUAUUAGAGGCACUGCCUGCCCAGUGACUACGUUCAACGGCCGCGGUAUUCUGACCGUGCAAAGGUAGCAUAAUCACUUGUCUUUUAAAUUAAGACUAGUAUGAACGGCAACACGAAAGCCUAACUGUCUCCUUUAUCCAGUCAAUGAAAUUGAUCUUCUCGUGAAAAAGCGAGAAUACAUUAACAAGACGAGAAGACCCUAUGGAACUUUAAACACAUUAACCACUUUUUCAUUUUACCUACUAUACAAUAUAAAAAAUCUGGUAUACUGUUUUUGGUUGGGGCGACCAAGGAGAAAAAUAUAACCUCCAUGAACCACACUAAGACUAACAUAAUCAAAGUAUUAAAAUUUUAAAUUUAUGACCCAAUAAACUUGAUCAACGAACCAAGCUACCCUAGGGAUAACAGCGCAAUCUUCUCCAAGAGCCCAUAUCGCCAAGAAGGUUUACGACCUCGAUGUUGGAUCAGGAUUACCAGACAGUGCAGCCGCCGUCAAAGGUUUGUUUGUUCAACAAUUAAAAUCCU
rnacentral:rRNA from 1 species